rnacentral:rRNA from 1 species
UUGAGAGUUUGAUCAUGGCUCAGAUUGAACGCUGGCGGCAGGCCUAACACAUGCAAGUCGAACGGUAACAGGAAGAAGCUUGCUUCUUCGCUGACGAGUGGCGGACGGGUGAGUAAUGUCUGGGAAACUGCCUGAUGGAGGGGGAUAACUACUGGAAACGGUAGCCAAUACCGCAUAACGUCGCAAGACCAAAGAGGGGGACCUUCGGGCCUCUUGCCAUCGGAUGUGCCCAGAUGGGAUUAGCUAGUAGGUGGGGUAACGGCUCACCUAGGCGACGAUCCCUAGCUGGUCUGAGAGGAUGACCAGCCACACUGGAACUGAGACACGGUCCAGACUCCUACGGGAGGCAGCAGUGGGGAAUAUUGCACAAUGGGCGCAAGCCUGAUGCAGCCAUGCCGCGUGUAUGAAGAAGGCCUUCGGGUUGUAAAGUACUUUCAGCGGGGAGGAAGGGAGUAAAGUUAAUACCUUUGCUCAUUGACGUUACCCGCAGAAGA